UACGAAGGGGGCUAGCGUUGCUCGGAAUUACUGGGCGUAAAGCGCGCGUAGGCGGCUUUCCAAGUCAGGGGUGAAAUCCCGGGGCUCAACCCCGGAAUUGCCUUUGAAACUGGAAGGCUUGAGUGUCGGAGGGGAUAGCGGAAUUGCUAAUGUAGAGGUGAAAUUCGUAGAUAUUAGCAGGAACACCGGUGGCGAAGGCGGCUAUCUGGACGACAACUGACGCUGAGGCGCGAAAGCGUGGGGAGCAAACAGG
rnacentral:rRNA from 1 species